UCCAGAGGUCCCAAGCGUUGUUCGGAUUCAUUGGGCGUAAAGGGUGCGUAGGCGGCGCGGUAAGUCGGGUGUGAAAUCUCGGAGCUUAACUCCGAAACUGCAUUCGAUACUGCCGUGCUUGAGGACUGGAGAGGAGACUGGAAUUUACGGUGUAGCGGUGAAAUGCGUAGAUAUCGUAAGGAAGACCAGUGGCGAAGGCGGGUCUCUGGACAGUUCCUGACGCUGAGGCACGAAGGCCAGGGGAGCAAACGGG
rnacentral:rRNA from 1 species